rnacentral:rRNA from 1 species
CCUACGGGGGGCAGCAGUGGGGAAUAUUGGACAAUGGGGGGAACCCUGAUCCAGCCAUGCCGCGUGUGUGAAGAAGGCCCUCGGGUUGUAAAGCACUUUCAGUGAGGAAGAACGCCUGGUGGUUAAUACCCAUCAGGAAAGACAUCACUCACAGAAGAAGCACCGGCUAACUCCGUGCCAGCAGCCGCGGUAAUACGGAGGGUGCGAGCGUUAAUCGGAAUUACUGGGCGUAAAGCGCGCGUAGGUGGCUUGAUAAGCCGGUUGUGAAAGCCCCGGGCUCAACCUGGGAACGGCAUCCGGAACUGUCAAGCUAGAGUGCAGGAGAGGAAGGUAGAAUUCCCGGUGUAGCGGUGAAAUGCGUAGAGAUCGGGAGGAAUACCAGUGGCGAAGGCGGCCUUCUGGACUGACACUGACACUGAGGUGCGAAAGCGUGGGUAGCAAACAGGAUUAGAUAGCCGAGUAGUC